CCUACGGGAGGCAGCAGUGAGGAAUAUUGGUCAAUGGCCGUAAGGCUGAACCAGCCAAGUAGCGUGAGGGAAGACUGCCCUAUGGGUUGUAAACCUCUUUUAUGCGGGGAUAAAGGUGUCCACGUGUGGAUGUUUGCAGGUACCGCAUGAAUAAGGACCGGCUAAUUCCGUGCCAGCAGCCGCGGUAAUACGGAAGGUCCGGGCGUUAUCCGGAUUUAUUGGGUUUAAAGGGAGCGUAGGCCGGUCUUUAAGCGUGACGUGAAAUUUUGUGGCUCAACCAUGAGAGUGCGGCGCGAACUGGAGGCCUUGAGGGCGCGGAAGGCAGGCGGAAUUCGUGGUGUAGCGGUGAAAUGCUUAGAUAUCACGAAGAACCCCGAUUGCGAAGGCAGCCUGCCGCAGCGUUACUGACGCUGAAGCUCGAAAGCGCGGGUAUCGAACAGGAUUAGAUACCCGUGUAGUC
rnacentral:rRNA from 1 species